GACGAACGCUGGCGGCGUGCUUAACACAUGCAAGUCGAACGAAGAGCGAUGGAAGCUUGCUUCUAUCAAUCUUAGUGGCGAACGGGUGAGUAACGCGUAAUCAACCUGCCCUUCAGAGGGGGACAACAGUUGGAAACGACUGCUAAUACCGCAUACGAUCUAAUCUCGGCAUCGAGGAUAGAUGAAAGGUGGCCUCUACAUGUAAGCUAUCACUGAAGGAGGGGAUUGCGUCUGAUUAGCUAGUUGGAGGGGUAACGGCCCACCAAGGCGAUGAUCAGUAGCCGGUCUGGGAGGAGGAACGGCCACAUUGGGACUGAGACACGGCCCAGACUCCUACGGGAGGCAGCAGUGGGGAAUCUUCCGCAAUGGACGAAAGUCUGACGGAGCAACGCCGCGUGAGUGAUGACGGCCUUCGGGUUGUAAAGCUCUGUUAAUCGGGACGAAAGGCCUUCUUGCGAAUAGUGAGAAGGAUUGACGGUACCGGAAUAGAAAGCCACGGCUAACUACGUG
rnacentral:rRNA from 1 species